CGAACCAAGCCAAAUAUACCGUACACGUGUUAGGUGUUUUUAAUUUUCCAUGCAAUUCUUGGACACAUUGCAUGAUUGUCUGUCAAAUGGUUGGAGUUUUGACGUCAUUAAUGUCAAGUAGCAAAAAAGCUUUUGGUAUUAAUGAAGGUUUGGACCGAUUACUCUAUCAAUUCAUAUGUAGCAUGAUGUGUUUUUUUAGCUAGAGUGUAGUUGAGUUUGGGUAGGAUGGGCCAGCAUGUGUCCAACCUUGUGGUUUAUAUUUCAUCCAAGAUUACCGGCACAAUAGGGAAUUGACCUCAAAAAAUAUGAGAGAAGCUGAGAUUUUGGAAUUUUGUAUAUAACAAAAAAAGAUAUAUUUUGUGUGUGUGUGUGUGUGUAUUUUUUCCUUUCUCAAUUUGAUUGAUUAUAUCCGUGGUAUAUAUAUUGUACGUUAAGUAUAAGUAAGAGCUGGAUAUUAAUUUCAUUAUUCCAAAUGGUACAGCUAUUUGUAGACAAAAUUCAUUAAUGCAAUAAGCUGUCUACUGUCGUCCUCGUCCUUCCUAUCCCAUUUCCAUUUUUUGUUUGUCUUUGUCAAAAUGGUUUAUUUCGGGAUAUUUCUUUUAAAUUAUAUAUGUAUGAUAAUUAUGUAUUCAACUAAAAAACUUUAGUUUACAAUUAAUUAUUCAC
rnacentral:lncRNA from 1 species